CCUACGGGUGGCAGCAGUGAGGAAUAUUGGUCAAUGGACGAGAGUCUGAACCAGCCAAGUAGCGUGAAGGAUGACUGCCCUAUGGGUUGUAAACUUCUUUUAUAUGGGAAUAAAAUGUUCCACGUGUGGGAUUUUGUAUGUACCAUAUGAAUAAGGAUCGGCUAACUCCGUGCCAGCAGCCGCGGUAAUACGGAGGAUCCGAGCGUUAUCCGGAUUUAUUGGGUUUAAAGGGAGCGUAGGUGGAUUGUUAAGUCAGUUGUGAAAGUUUGCGGCUCAACCGUAAAAUUGCAGUUGAAACUGGCAGUCUUGAGUACAGUAGAGGUGGGCGGAAUUCGUGGUGUAGCGGUGAAAUGCUUAGAUAUCACGAAAAACUCCGAUUGCGAAGGCAGUUCACUGGACUGCAACUGACACUGAGGCUCGAAAGUGUGGGUAUCAAACAGGAUUAGAUACCCGAGUAGUC
rnacentral:rRNA from 1 species